rnacentral:lncRNA from 1 species
UAAAUGACCCUGGCUUCAACAACCUUUCCUUGCUCAUUAAACAUGUUCUCAAGAGCCAUGUCAUCCACACCCCAGGAGAGGUUGCCAACAUAGAGACGGUUUCCUGAACCUGAGCCCGAACCUGACCCUGAUCCAGAACCAUAACUGGAACGUUGAGACCCGCCGUAACCACCACCUCGUUGAGACCCGUAACCUCCACCUCUUUCAGAACCGUAACCACCACCACGCUCAGAACCGUAGCCACCACCACGCUCAGAUCCGUAACCGCCACUUCUUGGUCCUCUGGAGAAGGAAUCUUCCCUCUUAGGAGGAGGAGGGCCAGCGUUGACUCUCAAGGGUCUGCCUUCAUAUUCCUGAAAUGGUCAUGUCAAAGGAGUUAAUAAAAAUAACCACAAUGUACAUACAAGACGGUGCAACUAAAACAAAGGUUCAACAAUUAUCUCGGCAACUUAUAUCUCCACAUUAGAAACGACAACACCUAAUCAAAAACCAUGACGUAUCCAUAAACUAUAUAGAGGAGAAGCAGCAUGGUUUAUCUAAUCUAAAAACAAUUCAUAAAAUCCAAGUAAUGUAACUUUCACAUGCGACAACAGAAAGCUAAGACACAAAUAACAUCAUACCACACAAGCAAACCAAUAGCAAGAAACACGAGGU